rnacentral:rRNA from 1 species
GACGUAGGGCGCAAGCGUUGUCCGGAAUUAUUGGGCGUAAAGAGCUCGUAGGCGGCUUGUCGCGUCGACUGUGAAAACCCACGGCUCAACCGUGCGGCCUGCAGUCGAUACGGGCAGGCUAGAAUUCGGUAGGGGAGACUGGAAUUCCUGGUGUAGCGGUGAAAUGCGCAGAUAUCAGGAGGAACACCGGUGGCGAAGGCGGGUCUCUGGGCCGAUAUUGACGCUGAGGAGCGAAAGCGUGGGGAGCGAACAGG